rnacentral:lncRNA from 1 species
CGUAGUUGAACCUUAGUAAUUUUUUAAGUCGAAGGCACGUAGCCUGAGUCCAUGUUCAACCGUAGUUGAGCCUUAGUAAUUUUUGAAGUCGAAGGCGUGCAGCCUGAGUCUCGUUCAACCGUAGUUGAGCCUUAGUAAUUUUUGUAGUUGAAGGCGCAUAGCGUGAGUUCUGGUUAAACCGUAUUUGAACCUUAGUAAUUUUUGAAGUCAAAGGCGCGUAGCCUGAGACCCGGUUCAACCGUAGUUGAAUCUUAGUAAUUUCUGAAGUCGAAGGCGCGUAUCCUGAGUCCCGGUUCAACCGUAGUUGAACCUUAGUAAUUUUUGAAGUCGAAGGCGCGUAGCCUGAGUCCCGUUCAAUCUUAGUUGAGCCUUAGUAAUUUUAGAAGUUGAAGGCGCGUAGCGUGAAUCCUGGUUCAACCGUAGUUGAACCUUAGUAAUUUUUGAA